rnacentral:rRNA from 1 species
CCCUUAGAUGUUCUGGGCUGCACGCGCGCUACACUGAUGCGCUCAACGAGUUUUGACCUUGCCCGGCAGGGUUGGGUAAUCUUUUUAAAAUGCAUCGUGAUGGGGAUAGAUUAUUGCAAUUAUUAAUCUUCAACGAGGAAUUCCUAGUAAGCGCGAGUCAUCAGCUCGUGCUGAUUACGUCCCUGCCCUUUGUACACACCGCCCGUCGCUCCUACCGAUUGAGUGCUCAGGUGAAUAAUUCGGACUGCAGCAAUGUUUGGAUCCCGAACGUUGCAGCGGAAAGUUUAGUGAACCUUAUCACUUAGAGGAAGGAGAAGUCGUAACA